rnacentral:rRNA from 1 species
UGGGGAAUAUUGCACAAUGGGGAAGACCCUGAUGCAGCGACGCCGCGUGAGCGAUGAAGUAUUUCGGUAUGUAAAGCUCUAUCAGCAGGGAAGAAAGUGACGGUACCUGACUAAGAAGCCCCGGCUAACUACGUGCCAGCAGCCGCGGUAAUACGUAGGGGCAAGCGUUAUCCGGAUUUACUGGGUGUAAAGGGAGCGUAGACGGAGGAGCAAGUCUGAAGUGAAAGCCCGUGGCUCAACUGCGGGAUUGCUUUGGAAACUGUUCAUCUAGAGUGUCGGAGAGGUAAGUGGAAUUCCUAGUGUAGCGGUGAAAUGCUAGAUAUUAGGAGGAACACCAGUGGCGAAGGCGGCUUACUGGACGAUGACUGACGUUGAGGCUCGAAAGCGUGGGGAGCAAACAGGAUUAGAUACCC